CAGAGUUAUCUAACUCCCAAACCAUUGUGAACUUACCAUUUGUUGCCUCGGCAGAACCUACCCUGUAACCUACCCAGGCUGCGCGGUAGUGGGCUGCCGGUGGACUACUUAACUCUGUUAUACUAUUGUAAUCUGAGCGUCUUAUUUUAAUAAGUUA
rnacentral:misc_RNA from 1 species